rnacentral:rRNA from 6 species
AAAUUGAAGAGUUUGAUCAUGGCUCAGAUUGAACGCUGGCGGCAGGCCUAACACAUGCAAGUCGAACGGUAACAGGAAGCAGCUUGCUGCUUCGCUGACGAGUGGCGGACGGGUGAGUAAUGUCUGGGAAACUGCCUGAUGGAGGGGGAUAACUACUGGAAACGGUGGCUAAUACCGCAUAACGUCGCAAGACCAAAGAGGGGGACCUUCGGGCCUCUUGCCAUCAGAUGUGCCCAGAUGGGAUUAGCUUGUUGGUGAGGUAACGGCUCACCAAGGCGACGAUCCCUAGCUGGUCUGAGAGGAUGACCAGCCACACUGGAACUGAGACACGGUCCAGACUCCUACGGGAGGCAGCAGUGGGGAAUAUUGCACAAUGGGCGCAAGCCUGAUGCAGCCAUGCCGCGUGUAUGAAGAAGGCCUUCGGGUUGUAAAGUACUUUCAGCGGGGAGGAAGGUGUUGUGGUUAAUAACCGCAGCAAUUGACGUUACCCGCAGAAGAAGCACCGGCUAACUCCGUGCCAGCAGCCGCGGUAAUACGGAGGGUGCAAGCGUUAAUCGGAAUUACUGGGCGUAAAGCGCACGCAGGCGGUCUGUCAAGUCGGAUGUGAAAUCCCCGGGCUCAACCUGGGAACUGCAUUCGAAACUGGCAGGCUUGAGUCUUGUAGAGGGGGGUAGAAUUCCAGGUGUAGCGGUGAAAUGCGUAGAGAUCUGGAGGAAUACCGGUGGCGAAGGCGGCCCCCUGGACAAAGACUGACGCUCAGGUGCGAAAGCGUGGGGAGCAAACAGGAUUAGAUACCCUGGUAGUCCACGCCGUAAACGAUGUCUACUUGGAGGUUGUGCCCUUGAGGCGUGGCUUCCGGAGCUAACGCGUUAAGUAGACCGCCUGGGGAGUACGGCCGCAAGGUUAAAACUCAAAUGAAUUGACGGGGGCCCGCACAAGCGGUGGAGCAUGUGGUUUAAUUCGAUGCAACGCGAAGAACCUUACCUGGUCUUGACAUCCACAGAACUUUCCAGAGAUGGACUGGUGCCUUCGGGAACUGUGAGACAGGUGCUGCAUGGCUGUCGUCAGCUCGUGUUGUGAAAUGUUGGGUUAAGUCCCGCAACGAGCGCAACCCUUAUCCUUUGUUGCCAGCGGUCCGGCCGGGAACUCAAAGGAGACUGCCAGUGAUAAACUGGAGGAAGGUGGGGAUGACGUCAAGUCAUCAUGGCCCUUACGACCAGGGCUACACACGUGCUACAAUGGCGCAUACAAAGAGAAGCGACCUCGCGAGAGCAAGCGGACCUCAUAAAGUGCGUCGUAGUCCGGAUUGGAGUCUGCAACUCGACUCCAUGAAGUCGGAAUCGCUAGUAAUCGUGGAUCAGAAUGCCACGGUGAAUACGUUCCCGGGCCUUGUACACACCGCCCGUCACACCAUGGGAGUGGGUUGCAAAAGAAGUAGGUAGCUUAACCUUCGGGAGGGCGCUUACCACUUUGUGAUUCAUGACUGGGGUGAAGUCGUAACAAGGUAACCGUAGGGGAACCUGCGGUUGGAUCACCUCCUUA